AUUCGCCCUUAGAGUUUGAUCCUGGCUCAGGAUGAACGCUGGCGGCGUGCCUAACACAUGCAAGUCGAACGGGUGUACGGGGAGGAAGGCUUCGGCCGGAAAACCUGUGCAUGAGUGGCGGACGGGUGAGUAACGCGUGGGCAACCUGGCCUGUACAGGGGGAUAACACUUAGAAAUAGGUGCUAAUACCGCAUAACGGGGGAAGCCGCAUGGCUUUUCCCUGAAAACUCCGGUGGUACAGGAUGGGCCCGCGUCUGAUUAGCCAGUUGGCAGGGUAACGGCCUACCAAAGCGACGAUCAGUAGCCGGCCUGAGAGGGCGGACGGCCACACUGGGACUGAGACACGGCCCAGACUCCUACGGGAGGCAGCAGUGGGGGAUAUUGCACAAUGGGGGGAACCCUGAUGCAGCGACGCCGCGUGGGUGAAGAAACGCCUCGGCGCGUAAAGCCCUGUCAGCAGGGAAGAAAAUGACGGUACCUGAAGAAGAAGCCCCGGCUAACUACGUGCCAGCAGCCGCGGUAAUACGUAGGGGGCAAGCGUUAUCCGGAUUUACUGGGUGUAAAGGGGGCGCAGACGGCGAUGCAAGCCAGGAGUGAAAUCCAUGGGCUUAACCCAUGAACUGCUAUUGAAACUGCACAGCUUGAGUGAAGUAGAGGUAGGCGGAAUUCCCGGUGUAGCGGUGAAAUGCGUAGAGAUCGGGAGGAACACCAGUGGCGAAGGCGGCCUACUGGGCUUUAACUGACGCUGAGGCACGAAAGCGUGGGUAGCAAACAGGAUUAGAUACCCUGGUAGUCCACGCUGUAAACGAUGAUUACUAGGUGUGGGGGGACUGAACCCUUCCGUGCCGGAGUUAACACAAUAAGUAAUCCACCUGGGGAGUACGGCCGCAAGGCUGAAACUCAAAGGAAUUGACGGGGGCCCGCACAAGCAGUGGAGUAUGUGGAUUAAUUCGAUGCAACGCGAAGAACCUUACCAGGUCUUGACAUCCCGCUAACGAGGCAGAGAUGCGUUAGGUGCCCUUCGGGGAAAGCGGAGACAGGUGGUGCAUGGUUGUCGUCAGCUCGUGUCGUGAGAUGUUGGGUUAAGUCCCGCAACGAGCGCAACCCUUACUGUUAGUUGCUACGCAAGAGCACUCUAGCAGGACCGCCGUUGACAAAACGGAGGAAGGUGGGGAUGAUGUCAAAUCAUCAUGCCCCUUAUGACCUGGGCCUCACACGUACUACAAUGGCCAUUAACAGAGGGAGGCAAAGCCGCGAGGCAGAGCAAAACCCUAAAAAUGGUCCCAGUUCGGAUCGCAGGCUGCAACCCGCCUGCGUGAAGUUGGAAUUGCUAGUAAUCGCGGAUCAGCAUGCCGCGGUGAAUACGUUCCCGGGCCUUGCACUCACCGCCCGUCA
rnacentral:rRNA from 1 species